GUUAAUGGUGUUGUCAUUUAGUUUGGUCCGAUUAUUUAAGGCAUAUAAUUUAUUUAGCAGAUUUAAAUUUGAGUUUUCACUAUUUCAAUAUUAUUCAUCAUUUGUUUGACAUAUAAUUAACAUAUUUUUUGAGAAAUAUACUUCAUUGAAAUAAAAUAUAAAUUUGAUGUACAAAUCAUUGUAUUAAAUAUAAAUCACUCAUAUAAAAAAGAUUAAAAUUAUUUUAAUUUAAAUAUUGAUAGAGCAUCUAACUCAUGCUCUAUUGGGUGGCGAGCUAUGUCAUUGUUAUGUUCUAUAGUCUUUCCAUUAAUUCAAUAUGAGAAACUUCAAAUUUUGACAUCAAAUAAAAGAAUUUGCAUCUCAUAUUUCACUUUUGUCCAGAUAACAAAAUAACACAUUCAAACACUCCAUGUGAUGGAGAGAAAACAAAAUUCUCAACCACAGGGAAUAACUCCAUAAAAAUAAAGACAAAACAAAAUAAAUUCUUAUUAAGAAGGAAUUAAUUAACUCAAGAUUUAUUAAUAAAAAUAAAUUUAUCUACAUAAAGCCAACAUCUUUUACUUCAUGUUUGAUCUUCUAAUUUUAAAAUUGCGAACUUGUUAAUAGUUCAUUUCCAAAUUAAUUAGUGAGAUUUAAUAUCGAAAACAAAUUUCCUUUAAUUAUUUUUGUUAAUUGAUGUCGAUCCCAAACAAAUAAUACU
rnacentral:misc_RNA from 1 species